CAUUAGAUGGCUGAAUUUAAAGCUUUGAUCUCUUAAAUCAAAUUAUAGUAUAUUAAAAUUACUUCUAAUGA
rnacentral:tRNA from 2 species